rnacentral:lncRNA from 1 species
AUUUUUCGACUGUGACUUGAGUUUUGAUGUAGAUGAUUUGAUUUAGAUGUGGGAAGGCCAACUUGAAUAAGAACAAAUGCAGUUUUCUCUUCCUGGCUAAUAUAUCACAGAAGUCCCAAGGGCUAUAGGUAACCCUGAGUAAGGAGCAUUUGAAUUUCUCAGAAUGUCUAGAAUGUUUUCCUUGUAUCUAUCUCUUGCUGCCUUCUAUAUAAAAUACAUUACUUGUAGCUGAAGGUAUUUACAAAUUUACUCAAUACUGUCCUGUGAAUAUUAUGAAGUCAAAUCUAAAUACACGGCAGAGAGACAAGUCUGACAUUCUGAGCAGCAUUUUAUUGAGAAAAACAAAGGAUUUCCAUGUGUAACUCCUAUUGUCUUCAGUAUUUUUGUCAGUUCAGAAGCUAUGAAAAAUAGUAUUCUUCUAAAGAACAGAAUUUACACUAAGAUGCAUGAGGAGACAUUCUAAUGUACAGUGUUCAUUGUUAAAUUAAGAAAGGCACUUGCUUUCCUGUUUGCCAAAAGAUCUGAAACAAAAAAAACCCCAAAACAUCUUUGCAGAGAAAGGAAAAGUGGCAAUACCAAAAAAGUUAAAUAGGUCCACAGAAUACAUUCAUACUUAAAAAGACAACAGUAAUGUUAUGACCUAAUAACUUAAACAGAUGCUUCUCCAGCGUAAUUCAAAUUCUGAAAGUUGAUGUUUGGAAACGCGGUUGAGUCCUUGAUUUAAUCUUAUUUUUUAUUUAAAACAAAACCAACCCCCGAACUUCAAUGUCAAACAAGAGCUCUUCCAAGUUAGGUUCAUCCUGGCACCGCCAGUGCCACAGUAUCAUAACGUGCCCAAGGCAGGCACACUGUGUAUCAAUGAAGCUGUCCUGCUACCCCUUCCUCAUUGUAUUUUUUUCUUAGCAAUUUACCAGACAAUAACACAGACUUAAAGCAGAGUAAUUCUGUCUUUCAACCAGACAAUCCCUCAUUGUGUUUCUGCACUGCAGAGUGGUUUGAGAGCAUUUUCAGCCAUAGGCUGAGUGCCACAUCCAAGAGUGUUCAUAAAGAGAGGAAAACAGUGAAUGGGUAGGCAAAAGCAAUACGGUCCAUGUUUCUGCCAUCUCCACUGGCUGAGUAGGAAGAAGGUAGGCUGGUUCAUCAGAAGAGGAACGUGCACAGCUCAGCUACAGAAACGGUGAAUGCCUUCCCCCAACCUGAAAUGCUUUCAUCUUUCCACAGUUCAACAGAAUUCAUAUAGGCAGUUACAUGUGCCCAUGAACUCAAACUAGUUUUCAUUUCAUUUAUCCUGUCAUGAAUGUAACUGGCUUUAUAUUUCCUUAUGGUGCAUCUUCUAUAUUCACAGCUUUGGAGUAUCUUGAGUUCUGUCCACCUCCAGUACCAGUUAGAGCUCAUCCUAGUGAUGAGAAAGUAAACAACUCAGUUGUGUUAGAAGCACAAAAAUCUUCCAGAUUAUUUUUUUACUUUCAUUACUUGAUUUUAGCUUUCCCUCUCUCUAGUUUGAGAUAAGAACUUAUUAUCUCAGAGAAUGAUAAUGAGAUAUAGUAGUAGUAGUAAGAAGUAGUUAUCUAUUUAAGAAACACUUGUCCAGCUGAGAUUUCAGCAUAAUGCACAAGUGGUAAGAAGUACCUUCUGAGUUAAAAUGUCAAUCCCAGUCUUAAACUCAGCCUCUGAAUUUUGGUGCCUGCCUCCUAAAUCUAGUCUAGGGAUUGCAGUUAGGAAUACAGAGCGUCUCAAUCUUUCUUUCUUCAGUGCAGCUGUCCCAUGGAUACCAUAAAUUCUAAGUCUUGACAAAGCUGGUAUCAGGGAAUGCUGUUAUUGUAGUAUCCGUGGGUGUGAAUAACUGAAUAGGUAACUGUAACCAAAACAAGACUGGAAGUACAAUGUGCCUGGUGCUGCCUGAAGAUAAUAGGGUGUUUAACACUUCAUGGACAAAGAGCAAAUGUUAACAGAGUCUAUUCUUUAAAAUAAGGUAUCUCACAAAAGGCACCACAAUAAGAAUUCUUACCUUAUUUCUAGAUUUUUUUCUUUUUCCUUUAUUUUGAAUUGCUUCUAAUUUUUCAUUCAAGAUGUCAGCAAUACCUUUUGCAUCUCUGCUGUCUAUAUAUUCCCCAAGAACGCUUUUCUUUAAAAAUGAAAUAAGAGAAAAUGAAUUAAAAAAAACCUGUGACAUGACCCAUGCACUGAAUAGGGAAUUUCCUUACUUUCAGAUAAAAUUCCAGAGUGGAGGGGGGGCAGACAAUGGCUCUGGUAGGCUGAUUUAUGAUUCAGUGAUACGUUUUUAUCUUUAUUUCAACAAUGCUAAUUCUUUUUUGCAGUAAGAACCACUCCUAGAUACAGUUUUUAGAACUAUACAAAUUUGGUCAUUUAGGUUAAGGGAAUCUGAAAGAGCUGUUUGCCAUUUUCUCUCAUUCUUUCAGCUAGGUAUUUCGUGUUGGCAACAUUAAAAACUCUGCAACUUUUGUUAGAUUUCUUGAACGUUGAUUACGAUGUAGGUCACUACUUGGAGACCUGAAAAGCCAUUACUUUUAACCCAGAAAAGUCUUAUUGAAUUUGAUGGAGUUGUGUAAGGAUUUCUAGCAUUUUGUUGUAAGAGAUGGAGGAAAAAAAAUAUAGUUGAGUUGGCUUAACUAUUAGUAUACAUUGAAUGCUUCUCUUUAAGAUUGAUUACUACACCUAAAGAUGACUGCAAUUUUCUUGAAAUGUAAGAGUAGUCAAUUGCUUGUACAAGAAUAAAGGCACUUUCCUAGAAUUGUCUGAACACUUCAAUUUUUUAAAAUGUAAUUAAUCUUUUAAUAGAUAUUAGUCUUAGUCCUUUAUAAUUGAAGUAGUUUAUAAAGGCUUAAGGCAGAAAACAACUAAAUAUUUUCUAUCAAUUUUCUGUCUUGUAAGUCAAAAUUACAAUGAAAUACUAAUGAUUGCAGUGAAGGUGCAUUUCCCCUUAGCCACAAUGAUAACGUCCACAUUUCAUUUUGAGAGAGACUGCCUGCUUUAGUAGCUAAUGCUAGAAGUGGUUUACCAGUGUUUUGUCACUUGUGUUUCCUGUCACUUGAGUCUCCUGCUCAAUUAAACCCCAGUUCUGAUUAAGUCUCUAUUUUAGUUGCUGUUUGAUUAACUUACAACUUAUUAUUUUUCAGUAACACAUCACUACUGUAUUUUGGGUAUUACUAAAAUCAAUUGCAAUUUUAUUUCUUGAAUAUCUAAAUUGUGUGCUUAUAGAAAUAGUCUAAGUUUGAUGUGAAAUGAAAUAUAUCUACUACCAGUACCUGCCCAGCAGUGUACACGAAGGGAGACAACUUACCUUUGUUCCUUGGUAGGGGUAAAACUUAACAGUAGGGUAGGCUCUGAUAUCAGCACUUUGGCAGGUCUGACCAUAUGCCUGACAGUCGACUUUUCCAGCUUUUACUUUUCCUUUAACGGCCUAAAAAGAAAUACUUUAAUUAGAAACAAGCUUCAAGUUUCCAUGUCUGACUACAAGCAGACAAUUUGAAUAGGCCAGCGGUGCAGCUAAAAAUAAGCAGAAGAGGUAGCUCAGAUCUUUUAAAUAACUCGUAGUCACUCGCUUCAUUCUCAGUGUCCCACAGCCUUGUAUCAGAAGUUGCCCUACAUUCUGCAGAGCACGCAUUCUUGAAUUCAGAGCACAGCAGACCACAGUUCCAAAGGGCCCCCAAUCAUGGACUGAAGUUUGUCUAAAGGAGGGCCUGUGUGCAUGUGUUUGUGUAAGGGCCGAUUCCCCCUGACAAAGGGAAUCUAAAAGGGCAGACUUCUAAUGACAGUGUAUCUCAUAUCUCAGUUGUUAUGAAAAUAUGAUUAGUGAGGUUUUGAUUUGAAGUUACAGCAGACUAGUAUGAAAACAGGGAACACCUGACUUAAAAAUGGAAAUCUCUCACUAUCACAAGGGUGAAAUGCUGUAUUAAUUUUUCAUCUGUACAAGGACAGUAACUGCCUACCUGUAAGAUAAUAAAAAAAUCUACAGCGAAUAAUGAACCAAGACAGCAACAGUUAGCCAUUUAAAAACUGAAAUAUUACAGGCUUUCUCUUCUAUAGCUAGAAAGGAGUAUGUGAUUUUUGGAUAAUUGCCUAGAAAUAGUGUGUUGGCAAGUGAUCUUUAGUAUUGUAACCACUAUUAGUAGAAAAAAGCAAUCUGCUAAUAUAGUUAAAAGCCUACCCUUGCAAGGAUCUCAAAUUCCGGAGCAAAAUUUUGGCAAGGCCCACACCAGGGAGCAUAAAAAUCAAUGACCCAGUGAUCUUUCCCAUUCAGAACUUUUUCUGUAAAACUCUGAGGAGUCAGGUCUAUGGACACUCGUGGUAAAUAUCCUAAUGCCCAGCCUCUCAGUGAAUAUGAAUCUCUGUGCCAUCCGUUAUAGCUGUAAUAUUGAUGAGUUGUGCUUGAUUUUUGAGGAAAGAGUCUUAUUUCAGGAUAUCCCCGAACAUUUUCUUGGUGACAAAAAGAGUAGAAUUUUUGACAGUCCACACUGCCUACGCUGAUUAAUCCAUUUAACAUCCUGGCCAUUUUUUUCCAUUCUGGCAUUAAGGCCUGACAAGGUCCACACCAGGGAGCGUAGAAAUCAACCAUCCAGAUUUCCUCUCGUUUUCUUCUCUCAACUAAUUCAACAAAUGUCUCUGGUGUUAGGGAGAUCACUGAUGGAUUCCUAAGAUCCUGUGGCAAAGGCAGUUUAUGGAUAUGUACUUUGCGUAGAAGUUGUCCUGUACCAGCAUUUAUCACACACUGACUGUAUUAAAGUUCUGAGAAUGUUCUUCUUUUACUCAAGAUAAUCCAUUCUAUGAGGCAGAGCCCACUACCGCUGUUCUGCAGAUUGGAAAGUAUCUUAAGUUAUUUGCUACUGAUUUGAAAGAAAUAGCUUGACAGAGUAGGGAAAAAAAUCUAUUAAGUUUCAAGUCCCAGACUGCCACUUGCUCUAUCACUUCUUACCCAAGGUUUGUUUUCAUUCCCAGUCUUAAUAGCCUAAUUAAAACCAAAAUGAAUCUUAGUUCUCCAACAAAAUGUUUGUGGAUAAGCUGCAAGUGUAGCAUGAUCCCAACCAAGAUUAUAACUUACGUACCUCUAUAAACUCCAAGAUCUGCUCAGCAGAGUGAUGACCCUCAUAUUCAUGAACGUCAGACUGAUUGAACACAACCGUUGUUGGAUAAGCUCGAAUAUUAUGCUAACAAAACACAGUAAGAAAUUGCAAGGUAUUAUUAGGUGUCCUGUACUCUCCUUUAAUUGCCAUUACUAAUGAUAUCUCACAGCUGCUGAUCUAUCCUUUUUGUGCUAUACAACUGCUUAAACUUACAUGUGGAGUGGAGUUUGAAACCCGUAAAGAAAAAAUGCCAGUUGUAUUGAGAUGGCACAGUUUGUCCUGAAUUUGAAAGCCAGCCUGUAGUUCUACUGCCGUCCUCCACAAAACAGAAAUUAAUCCACAGGCUUUCUAAGGCUUAACUUAAAGGCUAUCUUAGCCUCAAGUAGAGACACUUGUACCAUAUGAGGAACUGUACUGUCUAACAUUGAAUGCAGAUGCUUCCAAAAUCAGAAUUCUUCAGUGUGUAAAUACACCUAAACGUGUACUUGGAAGUUUUCCCUUUUUUGAAGAGUUUGAAGUGUUUUUAGAUGCCCACAUUUCUAAUAUAGAUAGAAAGCUUCUAACAGAAGAAGCUCUUAUAAACAGUAAGAUGUGCUGAUGCAGGUACUCUGCCUCCUAAAAUGUAGCACUUGCUGGAAUUCAGGGAGAGUAAGUCCAUUUUUUACCCAGAUAAAUUAAUUGAAGCAAAACUAAGCAAAUUCAAACAUGGAGAAAGGGGAAAGACUUUAAGAACUCAUAAAACAGUGUAUUGUUACAUAUAAAUUAAAAGCAAAAACUAUAAAUUCCUGCAGCUUACCAUGUUACAAAGCCCCUCGUGGACUGUACAGUCUAGUGUUCCAAAUUUAAGCUGACCAUAAAGAUGUUUUGAUGCUUUUCUCAGCUCUGGUAACAAAGCUCGACAAGGAGGACACCACUGGAAAACAAAAUGCAAAUGAACACAAUUGCUUUGCCCUGCAGCUGGCUCUCAAGAGAAUGUCAGCUGUUUGAAAAGAAUAAUACGCUGCUUUGGCAACAAGCUCCACUAAAAAUAACAGCCUACACAAUCUAGGAAACAGUGCUGCCAGGGAAUGAGGAAUUACGGUACCGUCUCAUAAUGCUGAAGGACACCUUCAGGAUACUGACAGCAUUUUGUUACGUAAUUACAUAACACUUUUUUUUUAAAAAGGAUAAUGUAGAUAUUAAAUAUUUACCGGUGCAAAGAAGUCCACGAGCCAUGGUUCCUUUUCUUUACCAGGAAAAUUCUGAGGUCCCAGCGUGAUAACGUGAGAGUUGACACUUUCUUUGGCAAAUGCAACAAUGUCAUACAAGAUCUUCUUUCCUUCAAAGAACAAUGUAGAAAGGAAAUCGUUUUUCCCUAUGAAAGGUCUCUUGAUAUUAUGUUGUAAGAAAUAUUGGAUGGAGGUGACUUCUGGCAAAAGUUUUGUGUGCCAUCAGCCUUGUAAAUAGCGAAACAAAAUUCAGAAAAAUAUCUGUACUGUAGUCCAAUAUAUUUCUCUGAUACUAUUUAUAAUUUAUGCCAUUAGGAAAAGAUGUAGAAAUGCUGUAUGUACACAACCUCUUCUCUGCUUUUCUGCAGGAGUAGAAAUUGUAGGUAGUAUACAAAGUUUUUUCCUGAGAGCACGCGUUGAGAUGCAUGGGACCAUCCUUCCCUAUCAGAUGGGGUUCAUCUUUUCCAGGUUGUCAAACAAUUUUAUUCUCUCUUCUGUAACAUUACAGUGCUUAGGUUUUGACUGAUUUCUUGCAAGUUGUUUCUGGUAGCUGUGAGGCUGAAGAAUCAGAACCUCAUCAUGCAUAAUUGCCUUGUGCUGCGUUGUGGAUGAAACACCACCACUUGUUGCUAGCUACAGUUUUCUUUCAAUCUUUGUUCUUCUUGUACCAUUAUUUUUUAAUCCUUAUAGAGGUUCACAGUACCAUAGUUACAAUCUUUCAUGGAACCAAACUAAAUGAACGUAAGUGGCAAAAUCUUAAUACAGACUUUCUUGAACUGAAAUGAGCUACACAAGGAAAUGGUUUUAAGUGUAGUGACAUGAUAUCAAAUCCAAGUUUUUCAAGUGGCAGCACUGUAGAGCUGGCAGGUUAAGUCUCAAGGAAGUGUGUGCCUUGCAGCACUCUUUGGCUGUCCUACCCAAAAUGCAAGCUGUCUUGAUCAGCUUCAGAGAUUUCAUUUCUAUGUAAGCAUAUUGGUGACUUUGACAUAGACAAGAUAGAAAAAGCAAAGUCCAUCUCUUAGUACCUGAUGCCUCCUUCUGGGAGAGGAGGGAUAAAAAAAAAGUCUACGCAAGGCUACAAUAAGGUCAGAGACAAAGAGCAAAUAUUAAGGCUACAAAACUGUUCCUUUAAUAAAGAAGAGCAGUUUGCCAAAGAUGGCGUCAUCUUGAAGUGAUUAUGUAAUGACUUGGUCUUGCCAAAGUUUCCCUUACCAUGAUGAAUUUCAUAAUCUUCAAUUCCUUUUCCUUUGAACACUGCUAGACACGGCUGAUACACAUACAGUUUGUUGCAGAUGGUUGGAGAGGAAAGACAGUCAAACUUGCCAACCUAUUUAACAAAGUGCCAUUUUAAUUAAGGCAUCCAAAUUUAUAGAGACUAGCAUAUUCUGGAAGGCAGUAAAAGUUAGGAUAAAUUCACAAUAAAAAAGGUAAAAACAUGGACAAGUAGUAGCCUUUUUAGAAGUAACAGCUCUUAAGACAAUCUUACGUCUAUGAUGUUUGAGCAAAACUACUGCAGCUGUAUUAGGCUGUUCUGCUAAUUUCAAAUUUAAAGGUCAAAACAGAAAGACACCUAAAAGAAUCUCUCUUACCUUCUCCAAGGAAGCAGAAAGACAGCUGAAAUAAAUUACACUAGAAUUCUCCUAGUCAGCGCAAUGAUUUUUUGAAAUCCACAGCUUAUAAAGUAACACAAUCCAUACGUCUUCAGUACAAAGACUGAAUUUGCUUUCCCUUUGUUAAGAUGACUUUCAAGAUAACGAUAGAGGUUUUUGAAUAAUACAGUUUUGCAUACGUCAGUUUCAUGCUGAAGCUUUAACUUUUGAUUGUUAACUGAAUGAGAUCUGCAGCAAUGUUUGCUGUGAAAGAAAGGAUUUAAAAUAGAAUCUUUCCUAACUACUUUUAAAUGAUUUAGAUAGGAUGGAAAACUUCACCGCUCGCUUUAAUUUAAAAACAUCGCUACUCAUCUACCAUACUAACAGCAUCUCUCUUCAGUACCAGAGGUGGCAGUAACAAAUCAUACUGACCAACUCAUUCUCUGAAUACAAACGGAGGGCAGUACUGGGUGGUCCUACAACUUCUGCUUUGUCUUACUUGACACUUGGGAGACUGCUGCUUCAAGACAGGCUGCUGUUGGAUGCUAUCUGGAUGAGACUUACCAGCAGAGCAACAGUAAGCUUCCUUAAGCUAAACAGAAACUCAUCAGUUUACCAACAAGCACUUUAAUGCGAUCCAAAUGACAAUGCAACCCCA